AAUAUAAGUUUUUUGUAGAAAUUUCAAUUCUCAAUGAAUAUUUUUAACUGAACUAUAACAAAAACCGAAUUAGCUACAGAGCAGUGGCACACUCUGAUGAGGUCUGGGGUGUCAACUGACACCUCUCAGAAAAUUAGUGGGUAUCAGGUGAGUUUAGAUGUUAUUUUUAUGUAUAUUUGUUUAAUAUUAAUAAUAUUAACUUGUAAUUGAGUUUUAUUAUGCCUAAACUCAUAAAUUUGACUGGUGGAGUGAGAUGGGUAUUUAGAUAUUUAUAUUUUCGACACCCUUGUAAAAAAUGUAAUGUGCGCCGCUACCACAAAGGAACACUCAGUGUAACGGGCUUGGCGAACUCAGGGGCGUAAAGAGAGUUAUGUGCCUAUCGGCCAAUGUACACUAUGUACAUUUCAAUAGCC